GGCCUUCGGGUUGUAAACCUCUUUCAGUAGGGAACAAGACAUCAUUUUUGUGGUGUUGAGGGUACUUGCAGAAGAAGCACCGGCUAACUACGUGCCAGCAGCCGCGGUAAUACGUAGGGUGCAAGCGUUAUCCGGAAUUAUUGGGCGUAAAGAGCUCGUAGGCGGUUUGUCGCGUCUGCCGUGAAAGUCCGGGGCUCAACUCCGGAUCUGCGGUGGGUACGGGCAGACUAGAGUGAUGUAGGGGAGACUGGAAUUCCUGGUGUAGCGGUGAAAUGCGCAGAUAUCAGGAGGAACACCGAUAGGCGAAGGCAGGUCUCUGGGCAUUAACUGACGCUGAGGAGCGAAAGCAUGGGGAGCGAACAGGAUUAGAUACCCUGGUAGUCCAUGCCGUAAACGUUGGGCACUAGGUGUGGGGGACAUUCCACGUUCUCCGCGCCGUAGCUAACGCAUUAAGUGCCCCGCCUGGGGAGUACGGCCGCAAGGCUUAAACUCAAAGNAAUUGACGGGGGCCGCACAAGCGGCGGAGCAUGCGGAUUAAUUCGAUGCAACGCGAAGAACCUUACCAAGGCUUGACAUGGAUUAGAAAACAGAAAUGUACUCCCCGUUUUGGGUUGGUUCACAGGUGGUGCAUGGUUGUCGUCAGCUCGUGUCGUGAGAUGUUGGGUUAAGUCCCGCAACGAGCGCAACCCUCGUUCUAUGUUGCCAGCCGUUAUGGUGGGGACUCAUAGGAGACUGCCGGGGUCAACUCGGAGGAAGGUGGGGAUGACGUCAAAUCAUCAUGCCCCUUAUGUCUUGGGCUUCACGCAUGCUACAAUGGCCGGUACAAAGGGUUGCGAUACUGUGAGGUGGAGCUAAUCCCAAAAAGCCGGUCUCAGUUCGGAUUGGGGUCUGCAACUCGACCCCAUGAGGUCGGAAUCGCUAGUAAUCGCAGAUCAGCAACGCUGCGGUGAAUACGUUCCCGGGCCUUGUACACACCGCCCGUCCAAGUCACGAAAGUUGGUAACACCCGAAGCCGGUGGCCUAACCCUUUUGGGAGGGAACCGUCGAAGGUGGG
rnacentral:rRNA from 1 species